GCAACCAGAUAGUAAUGAUUGCUGUGAGAUCGAGCCUUUGGGAGAAGAAAAACCUGACGCGAGGGAAGACAGUUGGAAAAGGGCUAAGAACUAACUUCCCCUUGAAAAACAGUGUAGUAACAUCGAGGGCUACAAUUGAACAACAAUAUUUCAAGUUUAGCUACGCCACUGUCGUGAAUGUGUCCAAACGCCCUGGGAGACACAAAGCGCAUAUUUGUUAACGAAGUCUGUGGAUUCGUCUUUUAUCGCUAAAAUAAGGGAUGAUUCCAAUUGUUCAAAUGCAAAUGGGGAGGAAGAUUGGAUAGAAUAAAGAGUGAACCAGGAAAUCCUUUCAAGAUGGCUAAGAUUUAUGGACCCGGGAAACGUAAAAUACAGCGGCUUGAUAGAGAACAACAAAAAUAAAAGGACAAGUUGAUGAAAUGGAAAGUUAUUAUUCCAAAAAAAACAUUUAUGGAAUGUUAUUUAUAUUAAUAUUAAAUAGAAAA